rnacentral:rRNA from 1 species
GACGAACGCUGGCGGCGUGCUUAACACAUGCAAGUCGAACGGUAAGGCCCUUCGGGGUACACGAGUGGCGAACGGGUGAGUAACACGUGGGUGAUCUGCCCUGCACUUCGGGAUAAGCCUGGGAAACUGGGUCUAAUACCGGAUAGGACCAUUGCCUGCAUGGGUGGUGGUGGAAAGCCUUUGCGGUGUGGGAUGGGCCCGCGGCCUAUCAGCUUGUUGGUGGGGUGAUGUCCUACCAAGGCGACGACGGGUAGCCCGCCUGAGAGGGUGACCGGCCACACUGGGACUGAGAUACGGCCCAGACGCCUACGGGAGGCAGCAGUGGGGAAUAUUGCACAAUGGGCGCAAGCCUGAUGCAGCGACGCCGCGUGAGGGAUGACGGCCUUCGGGUUGUAAACCUCUUUCAGCACCGACGAAGCGCAAGUGACGGUAGGUGCAGAAGAAGGACCGGCCAACUACGUGCCAGCAGCCGCCGUAA